GGGUGGGGCAGCUGGACGGAGAAACCAGAAAGGAGGAAAGGAAGGGAGUCAGUGUCAGGUCAGAGAAAGCACUCACAAAAGACAGAAAAACGGACACGGACAGACUCACAGAGAGGGGGGUGGACAGACGAAGGGAAAGGGCCAGAAAGAGCCAGGGAGUAAGAGGAGGAGAAGCGAGGCAGAUACGGGGAGAAACAGACACCACAGGACGACGGGCUGGUAGGACACAGAUGGGGCCGAGUCCCCAUCAGCACGACGGUAACACGGAGAGAGCUCCAGGUGACAGAGACCGGCAGAGAAAAGGAGAAAAAAAUGAGAAGGACCCCGGAAAGGAAAUAAAGAACCCGGACAACCUGCCUCAGAACUCUGAGCGGCAUUUACGCCCCGGGGCGGAAGACAGCGCGUCCCUGGGGAAAGGAGGCUGGCCGUGCCAGGUUGGGAUUCCCAGGCAACCCGCGCUCCAGCCUAGUGGCGAAAUAAGAGAUACUGUUUUCCCGCCCGAAGAUACAUUUCUCCCAGAAGAUGGUGCCAGGAAAGAGAUUUUUCUUUUUCAAAGGAUUUGUUCUGGAAGCUGGGAAGGCCAAGGUCAAGGUCCCCGCAGAUUUGGCGUCUGGUGGCUCCCGAGCUGGACUGCAUUUCCCGUCCUUCUCUGCACCUGGACACGGCCGCCGAACGGGUUCUGACCAAAAGACGGUAUUUAUGGAGCCCCUACCAGGUGCCAGACCCUGAGCGCUAAACGCGGGGCGAGGCUGUCCCAAAGUGGCUGGUUCGUGCACACUCAGUGGGGAGCCCCCACCUGCGAUGUUGCAAUCAUCUGAGUGGACCCAAGGUCUUGUAGCAAAGUUUUCCCACCUGUGAAACGGGGAUGAUGACAGUAGCGAAUCGUCAGAAAGUACUUAGCAGGUCACCUGGUGCGUGGCAAGUGCUCUGUAAUAUAAGGUAAAUAAGUCCCGGCCGUCGCAGCGCAUCUGGGAUCUUUCCAGCCCCGCCCUUGCACGGCUCUGUGAGUCACUCCGAACCUGACUCAAUCUGAGCCUGACUUCGUCACUUUGCUCAUCUGUAAAAUGGGGACAAUACCCAUAACCUCAGGGUUAUUUGAACGAACACAGAGAUAACGGGCACGAGGUAGCGUGACUCGGGAUACAGAAUCUUGGGCUCUGGAAUAUGCCUGCCGUAGGGUUCGCGCUCACCAGCUGAGUGACAAGUAAUGACCUCUGAGCCUCAGGUUUCCCCUCUGUAAAUGGGGACAGUAGCAGGUGCUUCCUCAAGGGGUUGUUGAGAGGAACUAACACAGACACCGUGCUGAGCAAGGCGCCGGGGACUUAGUGGGAGCUCAGUAGAGUUCUUGGCCUGCGGCCUUUGUAACUUUGCCUCCCCUGGAGCACACCGCAGGCUCUCCAAGCCUCAGGUAUGGGUGAGGCUUGGUCUGCAAGGCAGGUAGGUGCAACAGUCCUCCGCAUGCUGUGUGCCCUCGGCGAGCGCUUUCCGCGUGUUACUUCAAUUAACCUUCCCGGUCCCCCGCGAGGCCGCUUUUAUCUCCAUUUCGCAGAGGAGGAAGCUGAGUCUCAGGCAGACUUGGUGACUUGCCCAGGGUCACGGGUGGGCUGACCAGCCCAGGUUUGUCCGUCCCAGAGUCCAAGGGCGGUGACGUUCGGGCACUGCAAGGAAGCUGAGCAGAACCUUUACUUUCAUGGCUGGAUUUAGCGACCCAGACAGGGCGUCCGCUGCUCGCGGGCAGGAGGGCCCUUGGCCGUGGACCCAACCCUACGGGUUGUUUGCACGAGAGCAUAGAAGGGUGGGCCCAAGAGGCUUUGGGUUGGAGCAGAGAGGUAGGAUCUAAGAGCUCACAGGGCAGAGGGGGUAUCUUCCAGCAACCAAAGCUUGGAGCGCAAACAAUGAGGCAAGACGUUUGGCCAGCAGAACACUGACUUGGGAAAAGCAGGACCCAAACUUCCCUAAACUCUAAAGCAAACCGUGCUGGCAGAUCUGGGACGGGUCGCCCCUGCCCAACCGCAGCUUGACCUCAGCACUUUUGUCUGUGGAGGAGGGUUGCACAAGCUGUCUUAAAUUUAAAAAGUUGCUGGUUGUAUUGACUGCUCCCUGUCAAUCGUCCAAAUGAGGGCGGGGACCAACGCAUUCUUUCUUCUA